rnacentral:rRNA from 1 species
GACAGAGGAUGCAAACGUUGCUCGGAAUUACUGGGCGUAAAGCGCGCGCAGGUGGUCUGGUAAGUCGGGUGUGAAAUCCCGGGGCUCAACCUCGGAAGUGCACACGAUACUGCCGGACUUGAGUACUGGAGAGGAGAGCGGAAUUCCCGGUGUAGAGGUGAAAUUCGUAGAUAUCGGGAGGAACACCAGUGGCGAAGGCGGCUCUCUGGACAGAUACUGACACUGAGGCGCGAAAGCGUGGGAAGCAAACAGG